UGAGUACGGCGGAACACGUGAAAUUCCGUCGGAAUCCGGGAGGACCAUCUCCCAAGGCUAAAUACUCCCUAGUGACCGAUAGUGAACCAGUACCGUGAGGGAAAGGUGAAAAGCACCCCGGAAGGGGAGUGAAACAGUUCCUGAAACCGUGUGCCUACAAGUAGUUAGAGCCCGUUAAUGGGUGAUAGCGUGCCUUUUGUAGAAUGAACCGGCGAGUUACGAUUUGUUGCAAGGUUAAGCGGAAAAAGCGGAGCCGUAGCGAAAGCGAGUCUGAAUAGGGCGCAUAAGUAACAGGUCGUAGACCCGAAACCAGGUGAUCUACCCAUGUCCAGGAUGAAGGUAAGGUAAUACUUACUGGAGGUCCGAACCCACGCACGUUGAAAAGUGCGGGGAUGAGGUGUGGGUAGCGGAGAAAUUCCAAUCGAACUUGGAGAUAGCUGGUUCUCUCCGAAAUAGCUUUAGGGCUAGCCUCGAGGUAAAGAGUCAUGGAGGUAGAGCACUGUUUGGACUAGGGGCCCUUCUCGGGUUACCGAAUUCAGAUAAACUCCGAAUGCCAUGUACUUAUACUCGGGAGUCAGACUGCGAGUGAUAAGAUCCGUAGUCGAAAGGGAAACAGCCCAGACCACCAGUUAAGGUCCCCAAAUAUAUGUUAAGUGGAAAAGGAUGUGGGGUUGCUUAGACAACCAGGAUGUUGGCUUAGAAGCAGCCACCAUUGAAAGAGUGCGUAAUAGCUCACUGGUCGAGUGACCCCGCGCCGAAAAUGUACCGGGGCUAAACAUAUUACCGAAACUGUGGAUGAACCUCUUUAGAGGUUCGUGGUAGGAGAGCGUUCUAAGGGCGGUGAAGUCAGACCGGAAGGACUGGUGGAGCGCUUAGAAGUGAGAAUGCCGGUAUGAGUAGCGAAAGAAGGGUGAGAAUCCCUUCCACCGAAUAUCUAAGGUUUCCUGAGGAAGGCUCGUCCGCUCAGGGUUAGUCGGGACCUAAGCCGAGGCCGAUAGGCGUAGGCGAUGGACAACAGGUAGAGAUUCCUGUACCAGUGCUAAUUGUUUAACCGAUGGGGUGACACAGAAGGAUAGGGAAUCGCACGAAUGGAAAUGUGCGUCCAAGCAGUGAGUGUGAGAAGUAGGCAAAUCCGCUUCUCGCGAAGCAUGAGCUGUGAUGGGGAAGGAAAUUAAGUACGGAAGUUCCUGAUUUCACGCUGUCAAGAAAAGCCUCUAGGAAGAGUAGUACUGCCCGUACCGCAAACCGACACAGGUAGAUGAGGAGAGAAUCCUAAGGUGAGCGAGAGAACUCUCGUUAAGGAACUCGGCAAAAUGACCCCGUAACUUCGGGAGAAGGGGUGCUCUAUUAGGGUGCAAGCCCGAGAGAGCCGCAGUGAAUAGGCCCAGGCGACUGUUUAGCAAAAACACAGGUCUCUGCAAAACCGUAAGGUGACGUAUAGGGGCUGACGCCUGCCCGGUGCUGGAAGGUUAAGAGGAGUGCUUAGCUUCGGCGAAGGUACGAAUUGAAGCCCCAGUAAACGGCGGCCGUAACUAUAACGGUCCUAAGGUAGCGAAAUUCCUUGUCGGGUAAGUUCCGACCCGCACGAAAGGCGCAACGAUCUGGGCACUGUCUCAACGAGAGACUCGGUGAAAUUAUAGUACCUGUGAAGAUGCAGGUUACCCGCGACAGGACGGAAAGACCCCGUGGAGCUUUACUGCAACCUGAUAUGGAAUGUUUGUACCGCUUGUACAGGAUAGGUAGGAGCCGAAGAGACGUGUGCGCUAGCAUACGAGGAGGCAAUGGUGGGAUACUACCCUGGCUGUAUGACCAUUCUAACCCGCCACGCUUAGCGCGUGGGGAGACAGUGUCAGGUGGGCAGUUUGACUGGGGCGGUCGCCUCCUAAAGAGUAACGGAGGCGCCCAAAGGUUCCCUCAGAAUGGAUGGAAAUCAUUCGCAGAGUGUAAAGGCACAAGGGAGCUUGACUGCGAGACUGACAAGUCGAGCAGGGACGAAAGUCGGGCUUAGUGAUCCGGUGGUUCCGCAUGGAAGGGCCAUCGCUCAACGGAUAAAAGCUACCCCGGGGAUAACAGGCUUAUCUCCCCCAAGAGUCCACAUCGACGGGGAGGUUUGGCACCUCGAUGUCGGCUCGUCGCAUCCUGGGGCUGUAGUCGGUCCCAAGGGUUGGGCUGUUCGCCCAUUAAAGCGGCACGCGAGCUGGGUUCAGAACGUCGUGAGACAGUUCGGUCCCUAUCCGUCGCGGGCGCAGGAAAUUUGAGAGGAGCUGUCCUUAGUACGAGAGGACCGGGAUGGACACACCGCUGGUGUACCAGUUGUUCCGCCAGGAGCAUCGCUGGGUAGCUAUGUGUGGCAGGGAUAAACGCUGAAAGCAUCUAAGCGUGAAGCCCCCCUCAAGAUGAGAUUUCCCAUUUCUUCGGAAAGUAAGAUCCCUGAAAGAUGAUCAGGUAGAUAGGUUUGGAGUGGAAGUGUAGCGAUACAUGGAGCGGACAAAUACUAAUCGAUCGAGGACUUAACCAAAA
rnacentral:rRNA from 1 species